rfam:Picea glauca, whole genome shotgun sequence.
ACAUGCCUACAACAUAGUGUUAAUGCACUGGAUCCCAUUAGAACUCUGCAAUUAAGCGCACUCAUGCUAGAGUAGUACUAAGAUGGGUGAUCACCUAGGAAGUCCUAGUGUUUUACAUGCC